rnacentral:lncRNA from 1 species
GCUUGUAGUGACCCCUCUUGUUGCAAUUGUAGCAAGUGAUAUUUUUCUUUUGUCUUCUUUCUUCUUCUUUCUUCUUCAAGCUUUUCUUUAUGAGAAACUUUUUGAACGUUCUUGAAAGUAGAAUCAUGUCCUCAUUAUCCUCUUCACUUUCUUCAUCUUCAUCUUCCUCCAACUCAUUGCUUCCAUUAAGAUUGGCAGUGGAUUUGAAAGCAAUGGUCCUCCUCUUAGGCUUCUCUUCUUUCUCCUUUUGUGCUAUGUUCAACUAAUAUAUCAUGAGUGAACCA